rnacentral:rRNA from 1 species
GACGAACGCUGGCGGCGUGCUUAACACAUGCAAGUCGAGCGGUAAGGCCCUUUCGGGGGUACACGAGCGGCGAACGGGUGAGUAACACGUGGGUGACCUGCCCUCAGCUCUGGGAUAAGCCUGGGAAACUGGGUCUAAUACUGGAUAUGACUCCACGGUGCAUGUCGUGGGGUGGAAAGCCUUGUGCGGCUGAGGAUGGGCCCGCGGCCUAUCAGCUUGUUGGCGGGGNGAUGGCCUACCAAGGCGACGACGGGUAGCCGGCCUGAGAGGGCGACCGGCCACACUGGGACUGAGACACGGCCCAGACUCCUACGGGAGGCAGCAGUGGGGAAUCUUGCGCAAUGGGCGAAAGCCUGACGCAGCGACGCCGCGUGAGGGAUGACGGCCUCGG